GCUAUAUUUUUUACUGUAUGUUACAGUAGUUCAGGAGAGUACUGUACCUUGUUUUGAGCAGAUCAUCGGGAAUAUUUAUACAGCAGGAAUAGUUGAUGCGAGAUGACUCAUAAUCUUUUUUACUUCUAGUGUCCAAGACAAGAACAUCAUUCUGAUCAUUAUUAAGAAGUUGAUAUAAAGCAACAGGAUCAAUUGUCGGCGAGGUUGUCGAUUUUAUUGGAGGUUGGCUGAAUGGAUCUGUGUCGAGAAAAAUGAAGUUGUACCGU